GUUCCCAUAGUUCAACCGGAUAGAAUAGAGGUUUCCUAAACCUUUGAUCCAAGUUCGAGUCUUGGUGGGAACGCCA
rnacentral:tRNA from 1 species